rnacentral:rRNA from 1 species
GUACGGAGGGUGCGAGCGUUGUCCGGAAUCACUGGGCGUAAAGGCGCGUAGGCGGCCUGAUAAGUAGGGGGUGAAAUCCUGCGGCUUAACCGCAGGGCUGCCUUCUAAACUGUCAGGCUUGAGCACAGUAGAGGCAGGUGGAAUUCCCGGUGUAGCGGUGGAAUGCGUAGAGAUCGGGAAGAACAUCAGUGGCGAAGGCGGCCUGCUGGGCUGUUGCUGACGCUGAGGCGCGACAGCGUGGGGAGCAAACAGG